rnacentral:rRNA from 1 species
CCUACGGGUGGCAGCAGUGGGGAAUAUUGCACAAUGGGGGAAACCCUGAUGCAGCGACGCCGCGUGAGUGAAGAAGGCUUUCGGGAUGUAAAGUUCUAUCAUCAGGGAAGAAAAUGACGGUACCUGACUAAGAAGCCCCGGCUAACUACGUGCCAGCAGCCGCGGUAAUACGUAGGGUGCGAGCGUUAUCCGGAUUGACUGGGUGUAAAGGGAGCGUAGGCGGCGCUGCAAGUCCGGAGUGAAAGCCGAGGGGUUAACCAUUGUACAGCUCUGGAAACUGUGUAGAUUGAGUGCGGGAGGGGCAGGCGGAAUUCCUAGUGUAGCGGUGAAAUGCGUAGAUAUUAGGAGGAACACCGGCGGCGAAGGCGGCCUGCUGGACCGGAACUGACGCUGAGGCUCGAAAGCGUGGGGAGCAAACAGGAUUAGAUACCCGGGUAGUC